rnacentral:lncRNA from 1 species
AGCAAAGCGUUGGACAUUAUCUGGGGUUUCUCUGCAAAUGUUUCCUUCCCUGAGACUGGCAUCUACCCAGACCUUUCGGUAGCUCUGUGCUGAGCUCCCGAAGGGGGCUAGAAGAGCUCCUCAACCCAUCAACCAACAGUACUAAUUAGGUUUUCAUCCUAAAGGGAGUUUGGGAUCCUAAAGGGAAUUUCCUUCUGUGGUUAGAACGAGUGCUCCAUCAAAUAUCUCUCAUCGCUCAACAACACUGUACAUUAGCCCACAAAAUAAAUCCCAAGUUUUUCACAUUUGUUGAAAUGAAUAACCAUAAAAGAUAAAAAGUCAGAGGCGGAGCAACAAGGAAACUCCAGUUCGUGGAUUUCUGGGGGGUCGUCUUCGGCGGUAUUGCUCCUUCAAGCUGUGCAAGGGAUGCUCAGCAGAGGAGAGGACCCAGGAGCAGUGCUGGUCUCACACCACCACCUAGGCAAAGCGCGCUUCAUGCUUUUCACUGCAACUCUGUUUUUUAGGAGUGUUUAUGGAAACCAUAGGAAUGAGCAAUAUUCUCCUUCCUUAUCAUGAGGCUUGCUGUUUGCCUUGCUUCACAACAGCUGCUGGUGCCCUUGGCUUCUCUCACAGAGCUUCUUUUCUAGCUCAAGUAGGAAAUCCCUGUGGUUUUGAAGCUAAAAGGUCAAUGCUUUGAGUGGGUGUGGGAGGGAACUAACCAGGCUUUGUGUAGAUGUAGGUCUGCUGUAAAACAUGCCCGAGAAUUUUGUUUCCCACAAAGCAAGCAGGAGGCUGUUGUGCAGACCUUGUGCUGCAGCUUGGAGGUGGGCAGCGCGUGGGUGCUGCUCGCCUGUGCUGGGUACAGGCUGGGGCUGGGUUUUCCCUUUCUCUUUCAGGGAGAGACCUGUUUUGGAAGCAGUCAGCCACGCCAGGCUUCACAGGGGAGCUGAGAAAAGCUACUGCUGGGAAAACAAACUAGCCAAACCUAACUGCGGAGAGCCUGUCACUGCCAUGACCCAGAGAGGGGAAGAAACUUCUGAAAUGGGCCUGAGAAAUCUGGAAGAUCUGGCUCAAGAUGUAGCUAUUGAUAGGACUCUUUAUGGUAAUGAUCAUGAUGUAUUGCAUUUUAACAUGCCCCAAAGAAUAAGAAGGCCCAAAUCUUGAUCGAUUACCUUCUAAUAAUGGAAAUAUAUAAGCCAGGGAAAUUUAUUAAAAGGAACUUAAAGGGUGAGUAAGAUGGAUGAAAUGCUCACAAACAGCGGGGUGCUGUUUAGAGUCACAAUAUGAGAAGUACUUAUCACCAAAAAUAUAUAUAUGAAAAGGAUAUCCUCAUGCCUACAUGUAGGCCCAGAAUAGUUAAGUGGUGGAACAAAGGGAGCUACUGGAAGAAAAAAGGCUGUUUGUUUCAAAGCCAGAUAAAGAAAACAGAAGAAGACUGACUACAGGGAAGUAAAAUCAGAAAGAGGUAAACAAAUAACUUCUUCUAAGAUAGGAGAAAAAGGUCAGUUAUCACAAGGGGGAGAAGAGGCUUCUUGUUGUUCAACGCACUCAGAAAUGAUGUGGAAAUGUUGGUGAAUAAUGUGGUGAUGAAUAUGCAGAUGAUUCAGAAUUAUUUUUCAUAUUUUUUCAGAAGUGCAGGUAACUAAAGAGUUGCAGAAAUUUCUUACAAGACCGAGUGACUGAGUGAUAAAUGUCAAAUGAAAGGCAGAGUGGGUAAGUGUAAAGUAAAGUGCGUGGAGGAAAAAUAACCUAAUUAUAUGUAAACACAAAGAUGGGCUGUAAAUUAGCUUUUGUCACUCAGAAAGGGAUCUUUGCAUCACUUUGGAUACACCAGUUGAAUAUUCAAAGCAUCAAGCAGGCAAAUUAAAUUUUAGAUGUUGUUAGGAAAGGGACUGAGGACAAAGAGUUUUGACACCACUGCCAUCCCCACUGUGCCCACACCUGCAUUCCCUUGUGAAGUACUGGUUGCCCCCAAGUUAAAAAGGAGAAAGUGUAAUUAGAAGAGAUGCUAAGAGAAGCCCCCUGGCUCAUGGAAGCAAUGAGCUAUGAAAAGAAAUUUUGAAGAAUGUAAGGAUCUUAGAAACUAUGCUGUCACAGGCCAGGAGGGGAAGCUUUCUCCUGGCUAAAGAAGAAGGUAACAAGCAAGGGGUGGGAGUCAGUGGAU